rnacentral:misc_RNA from 1 species
GAUGAAGAACGCAGCGAAAUGCGAUAAGUAAUGCGAAUUGCAGAAUUCCAGUGAGUCAUCGAAUCUUUGAACGCACAUUGCGCCCGCUGGUAUUCCGGCGGGCAUGCCUGUUCGAGCGUCAUUUCAACCCUCAAGCUCUCCGGAGUUUGGUGUUGGGGCGCCUGGGGCUUUUCGACCUCAGGGCCCUCAAGUCCAUCGGCGGGACCGCCAGGACACUGAGCGCAGUAGUAUUAUUUCGCUCGGUAGGAUCUUCCACGGCGGGUCGAUCUGGCAGCUAAACCCCCCAAUUCUCACCAAAGGUUGACCUCGGAUCAGGUAGGAAUACCCGCUGAACUUAAGCAUAUCAAUAAGCGGAGGA